GAGCCUUUUUUUCUGACAGACGAAAAGGCCAAAAGGCUGAUAACAUCGACUGCUGAAUUUCUAGUCUGGAUGUAGUCGGCAACGUCGGAGGUGUAUUUUGGAUCCUCCUCUUGUGAAUGCCAUAGUAUCGAUGAUAACAUCAACUGUUCGUGGUCAUGUCAUCUGCAUCGGAGGUGGAGUCUUGUGAUUGCCGUCGUAGUGGUGCUAACAACAGGUUCAUUCAGACAGUCAACAUUUGUUGCACCAAAUGCAUUGAAAGUCACAGAUCAGCUGGAAUUUUGGAAAGAGGGUGCAGCCUGAAUCAAAUCCUGCUGUUUCUCAUCGGAGAGCUUGUCAACUGUUACUGUCAAAAUGACUCAUUUUUACUGUAUUUUAUU